CGGGGGCGGGUCGUGCCGGCUCCGAGCUGCUCGGGUUCCGCUGUUCGCUGUACUUGGUGCGAAGUGGAAGCGAAGCAGCUCUGGUAUCACCACUCUUGGCCCUUUCUCAAGAGCAUCCGAAAAUGAACAAAUCCCAGCUUCGCAGCGCAAGUAAUCGACAAGCCUCCCGGUCGACGCGCUGCACCGUGACCGAGUCCUGCCGGAAGAAUGCGCACCCCAGUUACACCAGGGUCACGAGAGUCCCCUCGGCACACCUGCCCCCUCUGAAGGUUCAGAGACUUUCUCCCACCACGUGGCUGUUUGCCAGCUACGACGUGUGGAUUUCUAGGCAAGUGCUAUGAGGACUGUGAGGACCGACCGCUUUUCUCGUGACUUCUCUGCCCCCACACUUCUUGAAACUUUUCCUGGAGCAGGAGAAAAUGAACACAUCCCA